rnacentral:rRNA from 1 species
CAGCAGCCGCGGUAAUACGUAGGUGGCGAGCGUUAAUCGGAAUUACUGGGCGUAAAGCGUGCGCAGGCGGUUGUGUAAGACAGGUGUGAAAUCCCCGGGCUUAACCUGGGAACUGCGCUUGUGACUGCACAGCUAGAGUAUGGCAGAGGGGGGUGGAAUUCCACGUGUAGCAGUGAAAUGCGUAGAGAUGUGGAGGAACACCGAUGGCGAAGGCAGCCCCCUGGGCCAAUACUGACGCUCAUGCACGAAAGCGUGGGGAGCAAACAGGAUUAGAUACCCGUGUAGUCCCUGUCUCUUAUAU